rnacentral:rRNA from 1 species
AGAGUUGAUCUGGCUCAGAACGAACGCUGGCGGCGCGUUUAAGCAUGCAAGUCGAGCGGCAAGGGCCUUCGGGCCCUAGAGCGGCGGACGGGUGAGUAACACGUGGACAAUCUGCCCCCCGGCCCGGGAUAGCCCAGGGGAACCUGGAUUAAUACCGGAUGAGACGGGACCCGCGAUGGCGGGACCCGGGAAAGGCGCUGCGGCGCCGCCGGGGGAUGAGUCUGCGUCCCAUUAGCUAGACGGCGGGGUAACGGCCCACCGUGGCGACGAUGGGUAGCCGGCCUGAGAGGGUGGACGGCCACAUUGGAACUGAGACACGGUCCAGACUCCUACGGGAGGCAGCAGCUAAGAAUCUUCCGCAAUGGGCGAAAGCCUGACGGAAGCGACGCCGCGUGAACGAAGAAGGCCGUGAGGUUGUAAAGUUCUUUUCGGGAGGGGGAACAACCGUGGCAGGGAAUGGCCGCGGGAUGACGUGAAUCCCGGAAUAAGCCCCGGCUAACUACGUGCCAGCCGCCGC